rnacentral:rRNA from 1 species
UAUGUGAUCGUCUCUCGCAUAUCAAUAAGCGGAGGAAAAGGAGUAUACCUACGCUUAGGAUGUUGACACACGCGCGUGCUCGACUCUAUACAUGACUCUGUGCAUAUCAAUAAGCGGAGGAAAAGAAACUAACAAGGAUUCCCCUAGUAACGGCGAGUGAAGCGGGAAGAGCUCAAAUUUGAAAUCUUAAAGGGUUUCCCUUUACGAAUUGUAGUUUAAAGAAGUGUUUUCUGUUGAGGUUUUGGUAAAAGUUCUUUGGAAUAGGACAUCAUAGAGGGUGAGAAUCCCGUAUUUGACCUUUACUUUCAACUUUGUGAUACACUUUCAAAGAGUCGGAUUGUUUGGGAAUGCAGUCCAAAAUGGGUGGUAAAUUUCAUCUAAAGCUAAAUAUUGGCGAGAGACCGAUAGCGAACAAGCUACCGUGAGGGAAAGAUGAAAAGAACUUUGAAAAGAGAGUUAAACAGUACGUGAAAUUGUCAAAAGGGAAGCGUUUGACACCAGUGUUGUUUUUCUGAAAAUCAAUUAAAGAACUGUUUAUGCUAAGUUGUUUAGACUUUAUCAGCUAUCUGUUUAGUUUUGAGCUUUUCUUUAAUGCACUUUUCAGUUAACAAGUCAACAUCAAUUUCUUUUGCUGUAAAAAAGCUUGAGGAAGGUGGCUUGAGAUUCGUCUUAAGUGUUUAUAGCCUCUUGCCUAUGCAGUCGGAGAGAUUGAGGUCUGCAGCGUAGAUCCUUCGGGGCUAAAUGCAUUUGUGCUAAGUUAUAGCAUUUUAUAGACAACUUGUUGACUAUGAUUUGUCUUGUAGCUUACUCGCUUAUGUUAUUUUACCUACGCUUAGGAUGUUGAUCUACAGAGCGAGAGU